AGAUUGAACGCUGGCGGCAGGCCUAACACAUGCAAGUCGAGCGGUAGAGAGGUGCUUGCAUCUCUUGAGAGCGGCGGACGGGUGAGUAAUGCCUAGGAAUCUGCCUAGUGGUGGGGGAUAACGUUCGGAAACGGACGCUAAUACCGCAUACGUCCUACGGGAGAAAGCGGGGGACCUUCGGGCCUCGCGCCAUUAGAUGAGCCUAGGUCGGAUUAGCUAGUUGGUGAGGUAAUGGCUCACCAAGGCGACGAUCCGUAACUGGUCUGAGAGGAUGAUCAGUCACACUGGAACUGAGACACGGUCCAGACUCCUACGGGAGCAGCAGAGGGGAAUAUUGGACAAUGGGCGCAAGGCCUGGAAUCCAGCCAAUCGGCCGCGUGUCGUGAAAGAAGGCCUUACGGGUUAGUAAAGCUAACGUUUUUCGUACGGAAAAGAAAA
rnacentral:rRNA from 1 species